UUGACCUCGGAUCAGGUAGGGAUACCCGCUGAACUUAAGCAUAUCAAUAAGCGGAGGAAAAGAAACCAACCGGGAUUGCCUCAGUAACGGCGAGUGAAGCGGCAAGAGCUCAAAUUUGAAAGCUGGCUCCUUCGGAGUCCGCAUUGUAAUUUGCAGAGGAUGCUUUGGGUGCGGCCCCCGUCUAAGUGCCCUGGAACGGGCCGUCAGAGAGGGUGAGAAUCCCGUCUUGGGCGGGGUGUCCGUGCCCGUGUAAAGCUCCUUCGACGAGUCGAGUUGUUUGGGAAUGCAGCUCUAAAUGGGUGGUAAAUUUCAUCUAAAGCUAAAUACUGGCCGGAGACCGAUAGCGCACAAGUAGAGUGAUCGAAAGAUGAAAAGCACUUUGAAAAGAGAGUUAAACAGCACGUGAAAUUGUUGAAAGGGAAGCGCUUGCGACCAGACUCGCCCGCGGGGUUCAGCCGGCAUUCGUGCCGGUGUACUUCCCCGUGGGCGGGCCAGCGUCGGUUUGGGCGGCCGGUCAAAGGCCCCUGGAAUGUAGUACCCUCCGGGGUACCUUAUAGCCAGGGGUGCAAUGCGGCCAGCCUGGACCGAGGAACGCGCUUCGGCACGGACGCUGG
rnacentral:rRNA from 2 species